AACGAACGCUGGCGGCAUGCCUAACACAUGCAAGUCGAACGAGACCUUCGGGUCUAGUGGCGCACGGGUGCGUAACGCGUGGGAACCUGCCCUUAGGUUCGGAAUAACUCCCCGAAAGGGGUGCUAAUACCGGAUAAUGUCUUCGGACCAAAGAUUUAUCGCCUUUGGAUGGGCCCGCGUUGGAUUAGCUAGUUGGUAGGGUAAAAGCCUACCACGGCGACGAUCCAUAGCUGGUCUGAGAGGAUGAUCAGCCACACUGGGACUGAGACACGGCCCAGACUACUACGGGAGGCAGCAGUGGGGAAUAUUGGAAAAUGGGCGAAAGCCUGAUCCAGCAAUGCCGGGUGAGUGAUGAAGGCCUUAGGGUUGUAAAGCUCUUUUACCCGGGAUGAUAAUGACAGUACCGGGAGAAUAAGCACCGGCUAACUCCGUG
rnacentral:rRNA from 1 species